UACGUAGGGGGCUAGCGUUGUCCGGAUUUAUUGGGCGUAAAGAGCGUGUAGGCGGCCAGGUAGGUCUGCUGUGAAAACUCGAGGCUCAACCUCGAGACGUCGGCGGAAACCAUCUGGCUAGAGUCCGGAAGAGGGAGAGUGGAAUUCCUGGGUGUAGCGGGUGGAAAUGCGGCAGAUAUCAGGAAGGAACACCCGUGGCGGCAAAGG
rnacentral:rRNA from 1 species